rnacentral:misc_RNA from 1 species
UUUCCGUAGGUGAACCUGCGGAAGGAUCAUUGAAGAAUGCGGUCUUCGGACCAAUUUCCCACCCAUGUUUACCUGACUAUGCCUCGGCGGUCCGCCGCCGGAGCCAUUUUACAACCAAUUUUUAUGACGUCUGUCUUAUAAAAGCGAAUUUAUCAAAACUUUCAACAACGGAUCUCUUGGUUCCCGCAUCGAUGAAGAACGCAGC